CCGUUGGUGAACCAGCGGAGGGAUCAUUACAGAGUUGCAAAACUCCCUUAACCCAUUGUGAACGUUACCUUCAAACCGUUGCUUCGGCGGGCGGCACCGGGCCCGCCCGGUGCCCCCUGGCCCCCCCAGCGGGGCGCCCGCCGGAGGAAACCCAACUCUUGAUACAUUAUGGCCUCUCUGAGUCUUCUGUACUGAAUAAGUCAAAACUUUCAACAACGGAUCUCUUGGUUCUGGCAUCGAUGAAGAACGCAGCGAAAUGCGAUAAGUAAUGUGAAUUGCAGAAUUCAGUGAAUCAUCGAAUCUUUGAACGCACAUUGCGCCCGCCAGUAUUCUGGCGGGCAUGCCUGUUCGAGCGUCAUUUCAACCAUCAAGCCCCCGGGCUUGUGCUGGGGACCUGCGGCUGCCGCAGGCCCUGAAAACCAGUGGCGGGCUCGCUGUCACACCGGGCGUAGUAGAUUUUAUCUCGCUCAGGGCGUGCUGCGGGCUCCGGCCGUUAAAAAGCCUUUUUCACCCAAGGUUGACCUCGGAUCAGGUAGGAAGACCCGCUGAACUUAAGCAUAUCAAUAAGCGGAGGA
rnacentral:misc_RNA from 1 species